UUUCGCUAUUUCUUGUCGCAACCAGUCAGAGUAAGUAAUUUCUGGUAUCAUUUUAAAAUUUCUAAUUUAUCAUAUAUACACAAUAUUCUAUCACCUUUAGUAACAUUUUUUUUGUUCUUAUUAGCUGAAGAAGUGUUUCCCUGCAUGUUUACCAUGGAUUGUCCAAGUACUUUCACUUGUCCCCCGAAGUUCAUUCCUAAGUGCAUUAAUCUAAAAUGUCUAUGUCAUUUAGACAAAGAGCCAAAGGAAGAUUUUUAAUAUGUUACCUAUAAUCAUAUAAUGCUAUUUUUGUAAGAAUAAUAAUAUUGCGAAGCUUUUAUAAUUGCCCGCACAAUUUUAUUUAUGUUUCCUUGGGUUUUCAAUUUUAUUGACAAUCUAUCCUAGUAUGUUAUAUCUUCAUGCGCACAUGGAAGUAAUU
rnacentral:lncRNA from 1 species